rnacentral:lncRNA from 1 species
AUGGAAACCUGGGAUGGCAGCACAGGAAAGGAAAGAAUACUCUGCCACCCUGUGCACUCAGGAUCAGUGUGGAACCAGGAGAGACUUCUUCCUGCAGGAAAAAGCAAACCAAGAGAGUCGUUUCUGUGCAGCACUGACAUUCCCAGGGGCACCACCUGCCCACCCACCCUGAGCAUCCCUCUGCUCAGCCUGCUGGAGCCAGGCUUUCCAGGUCAUGCAGUCUUGGACAGGUCAAGUGGGGCAAAGGCAAUGCCAAGGAAGAUGCUGUGUCCCUUCUGACAGGUAAGA